rnacentral:snRNA from 1 species
AUACUUACCUGACAGGGAUGAUACCAUAAUCACAGAGAUGGUUUUUCUAGGGCAAGACUGAUCCAUUAACACUGGGGAUCUGCUGACCCCUGUAAUUUCCCCUGACUUUAAAAAAAGAAAAAGAAAAUUCACAGUUUCAC